rnacentral:lncRNA from 1 species
UGUCAAAUUCUUUCAGUGGUAUGAUUUGGAAAAUGUUGGUAUAUCUUUCUGAAUCCUAAUUUAUUUCUUUUUUUAUAAUUGAAUCCCAGUUUCUUUGAAAGAUAAGACCAAUCAUUUCAACUUUGCAAGGUCAUUAAGUAUAUUUCAUAUGAUACUAUAUGAAUAUACUAUACUAUAUAAGAUUAUUAUAUAUAGUAUAUACAUAGGAUUAAAUUAUGUGUAUGCAAGCCUCUAGUACAGUCCCAAAAUAUUUAAAUAUCAGAACUUGUAUUCAUAAUCAAUUAUAAUAAAGCUCUUAUCAGAUGAAAGCCCUCAAAUAUUUAUGCCCUCAUAAAAUUAGAGGAAGUAUAAAUCACUACACCCUUUCCAGAAGAGAAGAAAAACUCUAAAUAUUCAUGCCAUUUCAUCCAGCAAUUAUAUAUCUGGGAAUUAACUCCAAGGUAAUAGAUCAGUCUAUGUUAAAAUUCAUUCACUAAUACGUUCAUCAAAGCACCUUUUUAAUGGAAAAAAUAAUUAUAUAUAUAUUCCAAGUCUCCAAAAAAUGAGCUUAAUUUAAUAAGAUUUGAUAUCUAUUAUAGCAUAUUCUAUAGAAUAUAAUACAAUAUUAUAGUAUUAUAGAAGAAUAUUUCAUAACAUAAAAAAUAUAUAUUUCAUCACUGAGGAUUUUUAAACAGUCUAUAACAUUUUAUACAGAGUAUCAUCCCAAAAUAUGUUCAGGAGCGAGUAUCUGUGGAUAAAUGACUGGAAAUCUAUAUAGCUGUGUUUCCCAAACCAUUAGUUGAGAUGUCCUAUGACAGUGCUGUGAGCUUAUACAGAGGCUGUGGGAUAUUAAAAAUGUUCAAGGGACACAGUAUCAUCACCCCGGGGACAUCUGGUAGGGACUCCAUAGUAACUCCACAAUUCCUACAAGUAAGAAGAGAUGCAUGGUUUCUUAUCAAUAUACUUUACCUAAAAGGUUUUAUAUGAGGAAUUCACAGGGAAAAACUGUUUAAAUUUAGUUUAAAACCUGUUAUUAGGUGAGAAUUUAAGGAGUGCCCCUAAAUACAAGCAUCUCCUGGCAUCAGGGUGACAAAGGAAGUGGUUUCAGUGAAAGAGUCACUAAUAAGAUUAUCUUUUCCAAACUGCUCUUGGAUUCUGAAGUUCUACCACUAGUAACUGUGUAUUUCUUUCUUAUUAUAAGAGACAGCAGCCCUAUCGAUGAGUUCAACUUUAGGAUAUCAGUUUUAAUAAAGGGCAAAAGACUUAUAUGAUAUGAAAAUAAAGCAGGAUCUAGGAAAUUAAUUUUAGGACAUCUCUUUGGAAUCUAAGGUGAGUGUGGACUUGAGCUUCAAGACAAGAAUAAAAAAAUAACCCUCUCUAAGUGCACAGCCAGCCUCAAAUGGCAUCUCAAGACCCUGAUUACACCAUUAUGGAAAAUACAGCUUUAGAAGUUUAUAUAUCUGUAUCUGUAUCUGUAUCGAUAUUGAUAUAGAGAGAGCCAUGAGCCAGAGAGAUGACCUAAGAGCAUCUUUUUCUCCACAUGACUGGGCUGGUAUCUGCAGAUGCAUUUGAUAGAUGGCAGAAUACUGACUAUUUAUUAUGGGCAAGAGACAUAAGGAAAGAAGUUGUCAUCAAAGUGUGUGUUUGCAUACAGAACAAAAACUCAGUUACUGAAACUCAUUUAUCUUCAGGUAGAAUUCUUGAGUAAUUUUUUCUUUGCUUAGAUUAUAGUCAAAUUAGGAAUAUCAAGUGGGUAUGAGAACAUGGAACAUUUGUCAGAGCCACAACAGGUAGCCUCUUGCCUGCAAGUGCAAAUGUGGGCUGGCAAUAUUGGUCAAAGUCAUUCCAGAGAUAGAAAUUCAAGAUAGACCUUGCAGAAGUGUUUGGUAAGAAGCAAGAUUUUUAAAGGUCCAGUGCUGUGGAUUGGAAAACUUUUUGUUUGAGAAAGCUGAAAAGUGCAUGCAUGUCUUUGUGUUUGUGUACCUGUGUGCCAGUGUGUGUAUCAAAUGCAUGCAGCUGAAGACAGUGGUGAUAAAGUAGUCCUUGUCUCCCUGGAUUUCCUUCAAAACUGGUACAGAAUAGCAAGGGUGAAAAAUGAAGCUGCAACACCAAAAAUGUACCUAAUAUCAAAAUUAUUUGAGGCCAGAGAAUGUCUGAAACACCAAAUUAAUAUGAGGUAUAGAGGAAAAAAAACCAAGUCUUUAUAUAUCUCCUCUUGUCACAAGGGCAUGGAGGGCAAAUUUUAAAAAUCAACAACUAGGUGGAAGCAAGUUACUAGAGUGCAUCUCGAGGUUGUUCUAGCCUAUGCCUGAAAAUACUUUUAAAAAUUUGUUCAAAUAGACAAAUCUACAGGAAACAGAUAUGUGGAGAUUUGAAAUUGAGAAGGCAGAAAGGAAGGCAUAUGUGUCCUUUAGCAGCUAGAGGCGAAGAAACCAAAAUAAAACCUCAGAUUAGCAAGACAUGUAACUGCUGCCCUGCUAACAGCAGAAACCAGUAUGCUAAAAUACCUGGAUUUUUGACAGUAAAAAAAAAAAAAAAAGAUGGUGCCAUCAAAGCAGAGAUUUUGGGAAACACACAGAUGUCAUAC